rnacentral:lncRNA from 10 species
CUGGCCCCACAGAGGCCUGGGCUUGCCUGGGCUUCCAGCCCUGCCUUGGGGCAAUCUGUGCACCUGCUGGGCAGGGUCGGUCCACCAGCUGCUGCUGGCUCUGCGGUCCUCCCAGAUCCACCCCACUGAAGAGCAGGGGGACGGGCAAAUCUCCAAAACCAGGGGCUGAUGGAGUCUCUCACUGUUGCCCAGGAUGGAAUGCAGUGGCGCGAUCUCGGCUCACUGCAAGCUCCGCCUCCCAAGUUCACGCCAUUCUCCUGCCUCAGCCUCCUGAGUAGCUGGGACUACAGGUGCCCACCACCACGCCCGGCUUAUGUUUUGUAUUUUUAGCAGAGAUGGGGUUUCACCGUGUUAGCCAGGAUGGUCUCGAUCUCUUGACCUCGUGAUCCGCCCUCCUCAGCCUCCCAAAGUGCUGGGGUUACGGGUGUGAGCCACCGCCCCUGGCCCUAUAUAUCAGAUUUAUUUAGGCCCAGAAAAUAAAAACACUGCAGAACCUGG